rnacentral:rRNA from 1 species
GAUGAACGCUGGCGGCGUGCCUAAUACAUGCAAGUCGAGCGAACAGACGAGGAGCUUGCUCCUCUGACGUUAGCGGCGGACGGGUGAGUAACACGUGGAUAACCUGCCUAUAAGACUGGGAUAACUUCGGGAAACCGGAGCUAAUACCGGAUAAUAUAUUGAACCGCAUGGUUCAAUAGUGAAAGACGGUUUUGCUGUCACUUAUAGAUGGAUCCGCGCCGCAUUAGCUAGUUGGUAAGGUAACGGCUUACCAAGGCGACGAUGCGUAGCCGACCUGAGAGGGUGAUCGGCCACACUGGAACUGAGACACGGUCCAGACUCCUACGGGAGGCAGCAGUAGGGAAUCUUCCGCAAUGGGCGAAAGCCUGACGGAGCAGCGCCGCGUGAGUGAUGAAGGUCUUCGGAUCGUAAAACUCUGUUAUUAGGGAAGAACAAAUGUGUAAGUAACUAUGCACGUCUUGACGGUACCUAAUCAGAAAGCCACGGCUAACUACGUG